GUCCCGACCUUAAAACGGUGCACACUUGGGGUGGGGGGAUUUCACCCCCCCCGUCCCGUAGCUAACGCGUUAAGUGUGCCGCCUGGGGAGUACGGCCGCAAGGUUAAAACUCAAAGAAAUUGACGGGGGCCCGCACAAGCAGAGGAGCAUGUGGCUUAAUUCGAUGCAACGCGAAGAACCUUACCCAGGUUUGACAUGUGACUGCACGCCCUGUGAAAGCAGGGCUCCUUCGAGGGUGUCACACAGGUGCUGCAUGGCUGUCGU
rnacentral:rRNA from 1 species